rnacentral:tRNA from 1 species
GGGCGAUUAGCUCAGUGGGGAGAGCGCCUGCCUUACAAGCAGGAUGUCGGCAGUUCAAAUCUGUCAUCGCCCACCA